rnacentral:tRNA from 1 species
GUCUCCAUAGCUCAGAUGGUAGAGCAUUCGCCUAGAUAGCGAAAGGUCCCCAGUUCAAGCCUAGGUGGAGUCA